UAGGGAAUCUUCGGCAAUGGGGGGAACCCUGACCGAGCAACGCCGCGUGAGUGAAGAAGGUUUUCGGAUCGUAAAGCUCUGUUGUUAAGGAAGAACGAGUGUGAGAAUGGAAUGUUCAUGCUGUGACGGUACUUAACCAGAAAGGGACGGCUAACUACGUGCCAGCAGCCGCGGUAAUACGUAGGUCCCGAGCGUUGUCCGGAUUUAUUGGGCGUAAAGCGAGCGCAGGCGGUUAGAAAAGUCUGAAGUGAAAGGCAGUGGCUCAACCAUUGUAGGCUUUGGAAACUGUUUAACUUGAGUGCAGAAGGGGAGAGUGGAAUUCCAUGUGUAGCGUUGAAAUGCGUAGAUAUAUGGAGGAACACCGGUGGCGAAAGCGGCUCUCUGGUCUGUAACUGACGCUGAGGCUCGAAAGCGUGGGGAGCGAACAGG
rnacentral:rRNA from 1 species